rnacentral:rRNA from 1 species
UACGUAGGGUGCGAGCGUUAUUCGGAAUUACUGGGCGUAAAGCGUGCGUAGGCGGUUUUGUAAGCCAGGUGUGAAAUCCCCGGGCUCAACCUGGGAAUGGCAUUUGGGACUGCAAGGCUGGAGUGUGGCAGAGGAGACUGGAAUUCCUGGUGUAGCAGUGAAAUGCGUAGAUAUCGGGAGGAACACCAGUGGCGAAGGCGGCUACCUGGACCAGCACUGACACUGAAGCACGAAAGCGUGGGGAGCAAACAGG